rnacentral:rRNA from 1 species
AACCUGGUUGAUCCUGCCAGUAGUCAUAUGCUUGUCUCAAAGAUUAAGCCAUGCAUGUCUAAGUAUAAGCGACUAUACUGUGAAACUGCGAAUGGCUCAUUAAAUCAGUUAUGGUUUAUUUGAUGGUACCUACUACUUGGAUAACCGUAGUAAUUCUAGAGCUAAUACAUGCAGGAAGACCCGACUUCGGAAGGGUUGUAUUUAUUAGAUAAGAAACCAAUCCAGCUUGCUGGUUGCGUGCCGAGUCACAAUAACUGCUCGAAUCGCAUGGCUUCACGCCGGCGAUGGUUCAUUCAAAUCUCUGCCCUAUCAGCUUUCGAUGGUAGGAUCGAGGCCUACCAUGGCGUUUACGGGUAACGGAGAAUUAGGGUUCGAUUCCGGAGAGGGAGCCUGAGAGAUGGCUACCACAUCCAAGGAAGGCAGCAGGCGCGUAAAUUGCCCGAAUCCUGACACAGGGAGGUAGUGACAAGAAAUAACAAUACAGGGCUUCUAAAGUCUUGUAAUUGGAAUGAGUACAAUUUACAUCUCUUCACGAGGGUCAAUUGGAGGGCAAGUCUGGUGCCA